GCCGGGCAUGGUGGCGCAUGCCUGUAGUCCCAGCUACUUGGGAGGCUGAGGCAGGAGAAUUGCUUGAAUCCGGGAUUUGGAAGUUGCAGUGAGCUGAGAUGGUGCCACUGCACUCCAGCUUGGGCAACAGAGUAACACUUUGUCUCAA
rnacentral:SRP_RNA from 1 species